UAUGGUUAGUUUUGCAGGUUUGCAUCCAGCUGUGUGAUGUUCUGCUGUGCAAAUCCAUGCAAAACUGACUGUGGU
rnacentral:pre_miRNA from 1 species